rnacentral:lncRNA from 1 species
UUUUUUUUUUUUUUUUUUUUUUGAUUUGGUCCAUUUCACAGUGGUCCCAGUGCAGUUAUUCCCCCAGUCCUAGAAUGGAUAAACUGAAUAGACAUACUCUGCAACUGGAAGAAUCCCCACAUUGAGUGAGAUUGUACAUGGAGAGUGAAGGCCUUUAUGGUAGGAAAGACCAAAUGGAUGCCACUAGAACUGCCUCGGUCAAGUAAAUCAAAAGCAACGACUCAUUCCUUGAAUAUUGCAGCGAUUAGUACCACCAUCAAGAACCUAAAGGAUGCAGGGGUUAUGAUUUUCACCCCAUUCCCAUUCUACUUCCCUAUUUAGCCUGCGAGGAAAAUGGAUUGAUCUUGGGGAAUGACAGUGAAUUAUCAUAAACAUACCAGGUGAUAACUCCAAUUGAGAUGCUGUUUCAGAUCUGGUAAAAUAGCUUGAGAAAAUUAGCACAUCCCCUCGUUCCUGGCACACAGUUAUUGAUUUGGAAAAUAAUUUAUCUCUAUACCUGUUAAUAAAGAAAGAUCAGUAGGAACAGUCCGUUUUCAACUGGCAAGGCCAACAAUACAUUUUCAUUUUGCUGCUUUGGGUGUAUAUCAGCUCUCCAGCCCUAUGCCAUAAUUAAGACUUUAUGGAUCAUGAUUGUCUGUUCCUUCCAUGUGACAUCACACUGAUCCAUUAUGUUGGUGACAUUAGGCUAAAUGGAGCUAGUGAGCAAGAAGUAGCAACUACUCUAGACUUACUGGUCUUAUUGGUAAGACACUUUCCUGUCAGAAGGUGGGAAACAAAUUCUACAAAAAUUCAGGGGCUUCCCAUCUCAGUAAAAUUUGAAGAUGUUCAGUGAAUAUUGAGCCUCUCGAGAUAUUCCUUUUAAGAUGAAGGAUGAGUUGUUGCAUCCGUCCUGUCCUGUAACCAAAAGAGGCACAAUGCCUAGUGAGCCUCUUUAGAUUUUAGAGGCAACAUCUUGCUCAUGUUGGGUAUGCUAGUCUGGUCCAUUGACUGGGUGCCCCAAAAAGCUUAGUUCUGAGUGAGUCUCUGAACAAGAGAAGGCUCUCCAACAAAUCCAGGUUGCCAUGCAAGCUGCUCUAACACUUGGGCCAAAUGAUCCAGUAAAACUACUGGUGUUUGAAGUACCAGUGGCAAAUUUUGGUACUACUGACAGACUCCAGGAGGCAAACCAGCAGGCAGACCCUUAGGCUUUUGGAACAAAGGCAUGGUAUCUAUGUGGAUAAUUACUCUUCUUUUGAGAAACAGCUUUUAGCUUUCUACUGAGUCUUGGUAGAGAAUGAAUGCUUAAACAUGGGCCACCAAGUUCAUGAGCUGCUCAUCAUCAAUUGGGUGUUACUUGACCCACCAAGCCAAAAAACAGCACUCUAUCAUCAAGUGGAAGUGGUAUAUAGGAGACUGGGCCUGAGCAGGCCUUAAAGGCAUAAGUAAGUUACAUUAGGAAGUGGCCCAAAUGCCUACAGCCCUGACUCCUGCCUUCUCUCCCAGCCUACACCUAUGGCCUCACAUGGAGUUCUCUACAAUCAGUUGACUGAGAAGAAAAAAAUGUGGGCCUGAUUUACAGGUGGUUUUGCAUGAUAUGCAGGCGCCAAGGGAAGUGGAUAGCUACAGCACUAAUACCCUUUUUCUGGGUCACCCUUGAAGGACAGGAGUGAAAGGUCACUCUCCCUGUGAGCAGCAUCUGGUUGUUCAUUCUACUUGGAAGGAAAAAUGGCCAGGAGUUUGACUACAUGCUGAUGCACGCGCUGUGGCCACGAUUUGGCUCAGUGGUCUGAAACUUGGAAGGAACAUGAAAUUGCUGAUGAAGAGGUUUGUGGAUAGAACUCUCUGAAUGGGCAAAAAGCAUGAGUAUAUUGUGUCUCAUGUAAAUACUCACCUAAGAGUCACCUUAGUAAAUCAAGGGAAUCUGUUCUGUGGACACCAGUCAGAUUCUUUUUGCAGCCACACCCAUCGUUGACAAUGAGCUCAUGAACACAGUGGCCACAGUGGGAGGGAUGGAGGCUAUGCAUUGAGCUCAGCACCAUGAGACUGUGAACUCCAUAAGGGAGGGGUUAUUGCUGUUGGCUUUGCUUUCGUGUGUCCCCAGAGCCCAUACAGUGGUAUCACAUGAAAGUGCCCAAUUAACCCUUGAAUGAGUAAAUGUAUGAGCUACAAAAGUUUUAAAAUGUAGCACUAAGGAAAGAGAUCAUCGAACAGCUCUUGGUAGUAGUUUCUUAUUAACUAAUUUAAAAAUAGAGAUAAUUCUGGACAUUUGUGAAAAUUCCAUGUGUCAAGUGAAAUGAUGGGAUAUCACUAAUAUUUGCAUUUUUAAAUCCUAGAAGUUAUUCUUUGCUUAUCACUUUUCUAUCAGUCAAAAGGUAACUGAGAUUAGGAAACACAGCCAAGUUCAAGUUUUAUAUGUGACACAUUUAAUAUGGUCUCACUCUAAUCAGUCAUUAACAAUAAAGCAGGCUGUACUUGCUUAAAUAGGUACAUUGUACUUGCUUAAGAUUUUGUAAACAUACCGUGGGGAUGAUUAAGAAAUGUGCUAUGAUGGAGGCUUCCUAAUUAUAGAGCAUUAGAAGGUGCCCCAGUGUUAGAGCUACAUACCCACAUAAAUCAAUUUCUUCCUCAUAUUUGUUGAAUGAUCUCUCACCUUUUACUUCCUUUGUAAUUUAUCUAUAAUAAAUAACUAUUAAGAUAUCUGGACUACAACAAAUAACAAAGGCUGGAGAGGUUGUGGAGAAAAGGGAACCCUCCUGCACUGUUGGUGGGAAUGGAAACUGGUACAGCCAUUAUGAAGAAUGGUUUGGAGAUAACUUAGAAAUCUAUACAUAGAAUUUCCAUAUGACCCCGCAACCCCACUCUUGGGCAUAUAUCCGGACAAAACUCUAAAGAGACACAUGCACCUGCAUGUUCAUUGCAGCACUAUUCACAAUAGCCAGGACAUGGAAACAACCCAAAUGUCUAUCAACAGAUGAUUGGAUUCGGAGGAUGUGGUGUAUAUACACACAAUGGAAUACUACUCAGCCAUAAAAAAGAAUGACAUAAUACCAUUUGCAGCAACAUGGAUGGAGACGCUCAUAAUGAGUGAAAUGAGUCAGAAAGACAAAGACAAAUACCAUAUGAUAUCACCUAUAACUGGAAUCUAAUAUCCAGCACAAAUGAACAUCUCCACAGAAAAGAAAAUCAUGGACUUGGAGAAUAGACUUGUGGCUGCCCGACCGGAGAGGGAAGGAGUGGGAGGGAUUGGGAGCUUGGGGUUAUCAGAUACAAUUUAGAAUAGAUGUACAAGGAGAUCCUGCUGAGUAGCAUUGAGAACUAUGUCUAGAUACUCAUGGUGCAACAGAACAAAGGGUGGGAAAAAAAAAAUGUAUACAGGUAGGAGUAACUUGAUCCCCAUGCUGUACAG